GGGAGGAGCCCUUCUUGGGCGUUUCCUCCCAAACUGCCCUCCUGAGCUUCGGCUCGGGAGGGCCUUUUUGUGUUUUGG
rnacentral:sRNA from 1 species